rnacentral:rRNA from 1 species
GGGUUGUGAGGUUAAGCGACUAAGCGUACACGGUGGAUGCCCUGGCAGUCAGAGGCGAUGAAGGACGUGCUAAUCUGCGAAAAGCGUCGGUAAGGUGAUAUGAACCGUUACAGCCGGCGAUGUCCGAAUGGGGAAACCCAGUGCAAUUCGUUGCACUAUCGUUAACUGAAUACAUAGGUUAACGAGGCGAACCGGGGGAACUGAAACAUCUAAGUACCCCGAGGAAAAGAAAUCAACCGAGAUUCCCCCAGUAGCGGCGAGCGAACGGGGAGCAGCCCAGAGUCUGAAUCAGCUUGUGUGUUAGUGGAACGGUCUGGAAAGUCCGACGGUACAGGGUGAUAGUCCCGUACACCAAAAUGCACAGGUUGUGAACUCGAAGAGUAGGGCGGGACACGUGGUAUCCUGUCUGAAUAUGGGGGGACCAUCCUCCAAGGCUAAAUACUCCUGACUGACCGAUAGUGAACCAGUACCGUGAGGGAAAGGCGAAAAGAACCCCGGCGAGGGGAGUGAAAAGAACCUGAAACCGUGUACGUACAAGCAGUGGGAGCACCUUCGGGUGUGACUGC